GUACGAAACGUGAAGAACAGUCGGUGUUGUGGUGUAGGAAAUGUGAAGUACAGUCGGUGUUGUGGUGUAGGAAAUGUGAAGAACUGUCGGUGUUGUGGUGUAGGGAACAUGAAGAACAGUCAGUGUUGAGGUGUAGGAAACGUGAAGAACAGUCGGUGUUGAGGUGUAGGGAACG